GUGCUGGGCUGGAAGCUUUGUCAAUGAAGGAGCUCGAGACGAUAUCACGUAUCCAUGAAGAAGGGCUGAGGCAGAUACAUGCCAUACAACAGCGUAAAGGAAGUCCAGCUGGGAGUCCACUUGUAAGUUCCACAACCUACCUGACACACAUGGGUUGUAUCCACCUACUCCGCCUCCAAAGGCUGUUGGAUUGCCUCCUCCGCUUAUCCCAAAUGGUGUUGGGAUCCAUAGAAAUGGGCAUGUUAAUGGUGGUGCCAGCCCAUGGUUCAAUCGUUAGAACGACGUCCCUGAUGUGAGGACUUCACUGAUCAAGAAACUGACUCAGGAACUGCCUGUUCUCAGUCGGAUGGAAUUGGGAAGAGGAGCUCAUUCACCUGGAAAGUGGAAUUUCUUGUCCUUUUAGGAAAUAAUGGAAACUAGAAAAUUUUUUCGCAAAUUCUUUCAAGCUGGUUGGAUGUGAGCUUCGGAUUGGAGUAUAUGAGUCUUUUGACACCAUAUGUAUAUAUUUGGAGAGUGAUCAGUCAGUUGGCAGUGAUCCCGAGAAGACCUGGAACAAUUCUGUUAUUCAGUUUAUGAAGGUAUCUGACAUGUUGGAAGCUGAUGCAGGAUUUCUGCUGCGAGACACAGUUGUAUUUGUUUGUGAGAUCUUGGACUACUGUCCAUGGUUCGAGUUUUCAGACCUGGAGGUUUUUAGCUUCUGAAGAUGAUCAAGACGGCCUGACAACUGACCCUGACGAACUCAUUUAUUCUGAUGACAGUGAAGAUCUAAGUGGAGAUGAAAAAGACAUCUUCAGAAAUCUUCUAUCUGGGGCCGGGUUUCACCUUACUUAUGAAGACAAGAACAUAUAGUGAAAACUGGCUGCGGUUCUGUCUCUCUUGCUGUUUUCGGUGAUCAGGAACGAGCUCUGAUUACUUGUCCUGAUUUGGCUUUAAACUAUAAGGUAGGCUGGUGGAGCUCAUGGCUCUUGCCUCGCAUGUGCACCCCUUGAUAGCGGCAGCCACAGCUCUACAUGGCUGUCAUUUUCUGAUUAUUGUUUGAGAGGUGCAUGAAAUUUGCUGCAUUUUUAUCUUUGCUUUGUGAUUAAUAGGUAAGUUUCGCAAUUCUCAUAUGUAGAAAAGAUUUGCUAUGCUUGAAUCGAUCUUUUCUUUAGUUUCUGUAGCUCAUUGCUUCUAAUUAAUACAUUUUGACAAUUGAAUUAGAUCAGAAAGACUUGUUUUAGAAAAAUAAGGAAGAUAUGACUUGGAACUUCCAAAACUUUGAUUUAUUGUUGCUUGUGCACUCUAUGUAUUAUGACAUAUUACUCCUAUUGGA